UACAGAGGGUGCAAGCGUUGUUCGGAAUUAUUGGGCGUAAAGGGAGUGUAGGCGGCUUGUUAAGUCUUCUGUGAAUCUACGGGCUCAGCCUGUAAAGUGCAGAGGAAACUGGCGAGCUUGAGUGUCGGAGAGGAUAGGGGAAUACCCGGUGUAGAGGUGAAAUUCGUAGAGAUCGGGUGGAACACCAGUGGCGAAGGCGCCUAUCUGGCUGACAACUGACGCUGAGACUCGAAAGCCAGGGGAGCAAACGGG
rnacentral:rRNA from 1 species